AUCCAGCUGACGAGUCUCAAUUAGGAUGAAACGCUCGUCAUAGAU
rnacentral:hammerhead_ribozyme from 1 species